rnacentral:lncRNA from 10 species
AGAAGAACCAAAAUAGCAAGUAGAUAAUCGCAUUUCAACUAAAUCAUUCAAGAAGGAAUACUGGAAUUCAACAGAGAGUGACAGGCAAUACCUAAAGCAAGAAAGGAGUAGGAAUUGAGCCAGAUCAUUUGGCCAGAAUCGGCUUGGAGCUGAGACUACCCUCCCAAUAUGGGGAAAAGCUUUAAAGAAAUAAACCACGAAGAGGUCAGUUGCUGCAAGGAAAUGAAUUCUGCAAACAACCACAAGAACCUGGAAGAAGAUCUUAGGCCUUAAAUGAGACCACAACCCCAGCAGACACCUUGAUUACAGCAUUAGGAAACCCUGAGCAGAGACCCAGCAACACCAUACCUAGACUUCUAAUCUAUAGAAACUGUGAGAUAAUACAUUUAUAUUUUUAAACCAUUAGUUUUGUCAUGAUUGUUAUGUAGCAGUAGGAAACCAAAACAGGAUCAAAAGACUUUUUCUUUUAAAGCAACCUCCUUAAACCUGGAAAAAAAACACAAAUAUUCCACCUAAUUUUUUCCUGAAAAUCCUUUCUAAAUAUGUUGUAUGUUUGUUCCAAAUCUCUGGAUUUUCUGAGACUUAAAGACACAGGAGUUAGAAGUAGCUUUUUCCUUAGAUUCUCCACAAGCAAGACUCUCAAAGGUAAAGAUCUCAAUAACCCGUCUGAUACUAGUGAGGUUGCCUAGCAACCAUCUCACUCCACCACCCUGGAGCUGCUGAGCGCAUCAGUUUCAAGGGCAACUAAAUCUCAGAUCAAUAAUUAAGACAGAAAAUGAAGAUAAAAGGAGAAAAUUUUAGUGGAGUACGCCAUGGGUAAAUAGGAUUCAGAUAUUAAAAGACAAAAUUACUGCAUAGGGCCUCUUAUUUAUUUUCUUUACUGAAACACAUGUAUGCAAAAAAACUUCAAAGAAAAAAAUUCAUCAUUACCAACCUCACAAAUAUUUUUGAGCUAACCAUGAAAAAUGGUCACCCAGGAGAAGCUAUGUGUUGAUACAGGACUGAAAAUAGCUUAAAAAAUCAUCUAGCUCAUUCCAUGCCCAUUUUUAAUGUAGGAAAAUAAGAAAAAUAAAUAAAGCAAAGGCAAGAAGCAAAUAAAAAAGUUUAGAAAACAUAAAACCAAAAAUAGUAAAUGACUUAUUCAAGAUGCAACAAGGGUUAGGAACUUAGUUGUUACUAGAACCCACAACUUCAGAUGACAGCCUUAUACUCAAGUAUUAUGCUAUGGUUGAAAAACCACGGGAUUGGGAGAGGAUAAACUGAGUGGGCCUUCCAGCCCUACCACUUCCUGAUGAUAUCAUCUGGAAAAAAUUUCCUGUUGAUUUUAAAGUUUAAUUUACUCAUCAAUAAAAAUCUGGAUAAUCUCUUAAGCAAUUAUAGUUAUCGUUAGCCAAUUUGUACAAAUAAAAUGAACUCCUGAA